rnacentral:rRNA from 1 species
CCUACGGGUGGCUGCAGUGGGGAAUAUUGCGCAAUGGGCGAAAGCCUGACGCAGCGACGCCGCGUGAGUGAAGAAGUCUUUCGGGAUGUAAAGCUCUGUCAAGAGGGAAGAUCAUGCCGGUACCUCUAGAGGAAGCCCCGGCUAACUACGUGCCAGCAGCCGCGGUAAUACGUAGGGGGCAAGCGUUAUCCGGAUUUAUUGGGCAUAAAGGGCGUGUAGGUGGUACUUUAAGUCAGUUGUUAAAUGCAUAGGCUCAACUUAUGUUUGCGACUGAAACUGAAGUACUAGAGGUUAGUAGAGGAAAGCGGAACUCACAGUGUAGCGGUGAAAUGCGUAGAUAUUGUGAGGAACACCAGUUGCGAAGGCGGCUUUCUGGACUGAUCCUGACACUGAGGCGCGAAAGCGUGGGGAGCAAACGGGAUUAGAUACCCGAGUAGUC